UGACUUUGAACUAUAGGUUAUACCUAUAGAAAUAAAAAUUUAUAUUCUCAAAUAUUUCUAUAUAUAAUUUGGGCCUUCUAUUAACUUUGGAUUAUGAAUAAAACAUAUCUGGAAUUCUUAUAUAUAUAUUGGGCCUUAUUUAUUUACCCCAAUUUAACUUUGAAUAUCAGCCACGUAUCAUCCCACCUUUCUGCAUCAACCACUUGUUUUGUGUUUAUUUCUCCACGCCAUUUCAUACUUGAGCACCAAGCAAUUAUCUCUAUACAUAUUUUUUUUGAUUUUCUUCAACAUUUCAUUUUAUCCGAAAAUUUGUCAAACCAGCAGAAAAACUUUACCCAGCUUCAUUCAUCUACAGAACUUCAUUAGACUUCAUUAGGUAAUUUCAUUAUUUCUGCAAAUUUUCAUUCUCCUGCAGUUCACUUCUACAUCCCAUAUUUUGUGCAGAGACAAUUUUUAAUAAUCUUUAAACUCUCACAACUCAUUUUACUCUCAAAUUCCAAAAUCCCCAACAUCUUCAAUUCAAGAGCAAACACACUGCACGAGAUAAUUUAUGUUUAUUUUUUAGUAACAAUUCAUCUUUUUGCAUUAAUAAUCAAAAGAAAAAGAAAGAAUAAAAUGAAAUUAGAAACAUAGAAAUAGAGUGGAGAUGGGGAGUUGUUGGUGCACGGAUGCUGGACAGCCGGUGAAGCGAGAGAGCUGGCUAGUAGGCGUCGCCAGGCGCUGCCGCGCCACGGCGACCGGCGAAGAUGGGCAGGGAGGCGGCGACGGUGGUUGGGCGGCACCAGAUCUAGAAAAGGGGAGGCGGCGGCUGGGCUGUGCUGCUGUCGGCCAGGAGGGAAAUAGACGGUAAAGGCGACACCGGGCAGGAGACGGUGGCGGCAGGGGUCGCCGGAGAAGAGGGGCGCAGCUGCGGCUGGUGCGGUGAGGAGAAGGGCAGGGGAGGAGGAAGAGGGCGAGAAGUGAGGGGUGAGAAGGAGAUAGGAAAAAGGGGGAAGAGAAAGGAGGCAGAGCCGCCGGCCUCCGGCGGCGGCGUGCCGUCUGGUGGCAGCGGCAGGGGGCCAAGAAGAGGAGGAGAAGGAUGGGGGGUGGUCGGUUGAGAGAGUGGGAGUGAGGAGGCUGCGUGAAGUGGUGUUUUGGAGUUGUGUGGGUAUGAUUAAAUUAAGUGGGAAGGGAAGUAUGGGCUUGGGCCUAGGAUGGUUGAUAGUUAAUGGGCUCAAUUUAUUAAAUGAUUGGGCUAUAAUUUGAUUAGCUAUUGCACUAAUUUAUUUUAUCAAAUGGACUUGCAUUUGCAUAUCAUUUUAUAAAGGACAUCAUUCAUAUUAUAUUUGGACUUGAAUUAUUAAUUCAAAUUUAGUUUUAAUUAAAUAUUGGGGUCAAAUCUUUUUAUAAAAGUUCUUUUAUAAUUUAUUAGACCAAUGAUUUCAAAUGAUUUUAUGAUUUAAACUACUACUACUAUUAUUAUUUUAAAGUUCAAUUAGGCUCUUAUGUAUUAUUAUUUGAAUUCAUCUGACUAGGUGCGGCGCGACUAGGACGUUACUUUUAAUUGAUUUACUCAAGUUAGCUUUCAAGUUCAAGUUGAAGUUCAAGUUCAAAGUUUCAGGUGUGGGAUUUAUUUCAGUACAUGCUGUGGUUAAUGGUUGUCCAUUUUAAUAGUAUGUGUUUGCCAUAUGUGUUGUAAAUUCAGUUAUAUCGCUAGGGGCCCGCUCAAUGGGUCCAGGACUUCACAGUCCUUGGUAUGCCACAAUGCGAUUUCAUGUUACAGUUAUGGUUGCAACCUAUUCGCCAGGGGCCUGCUCAAUGGGUCCAGGACUUUAAAGUCCUUGGUAUGCCACCGCGCGAAUUUCAGUUAUCAGUACAGUGCAGUGCGUAUGUGUUGACCAUUUUAUUAACGUGGACAAUUAUUGCAUGUUUCCCACACUGAGUAUAUUUCAUAUGCUCAUCCCAUAUUUAACAUUUUCAGGUAACUAAGGUUGGAGACGCGUGGAGGAUUGAAUGGGCGCGUCAAGUAUAUAUAUAUUUUGAAAAAUAUGAUGGCGUAGUUACAUCUAGCCUUUUUCUUUGUAUAGUUUCAAAGUCUAAAACUACUUUUGAGAUUUUAAUAUAACUUAUCAGGUUUAAUGUUAUCAUAUUAGCUUCCUAGCAUGGCUGGCCUUCUUUUCAAGUUAUUUCAAGUAUUUUAUUUAAAAAGUUAUUUCUUGAAAAUAAUCCAAAUCUUUAUGUUAUUUCCGCUGUCAAAAAUUAUUUAAAUUUAUAUUUAACACUUUAAUUAGAUUAGGGUGUUACAG
rnacentral:lncRNA from 1 species